rnacentral:rRNA from 1 species
CCUACGGGUGGCAGCAGUGGGGAAUAUUGCACAAUGGGGGAAACCCUGAUGGUGCGACGCCGCGUGGGGGAAUGAAGGUCUUCGGAUUGUAAACCCCUGUCAUGUGGGAGCAAAUUAAAAAGAUAGUACCACAAGAGGAAGAGACGGCUAACUCUGUGCCAGCAGCCGCGGUAAUACAGAGGUCUCAAGCGUUGUUCGGAAUCACUGGGCGUAAGGCGUGCGUAGGCUGUUUCGUAAGUCGUGUGUGAAAGGCGCGGGCUCAACCCGCGGACGGCACAUGAUACUGCGAGACUAGAGUAAUGGAGGGGGAACCGGAAUUCUCGGUGUAGCAGUGAAAUGCGUAGAUAUCGAGAGGAACACUCGUGGCGAAGGCGGGUUCCUGGACAUUAACUGACGCUGAGGCACGAAGGCCAGGGGAGCGAAAGGGAUUAGAUACCCUUGUAGUC